rnacentral:misc_RNA from 1 species
AGCAGCCGCGGUAACUCCAGCUCCAAUAGCGUAUAUUAAAGUUGUUGCAGUUAAAAAGCUCGUAGUUGAAUUUCGGGAUUGACACAUCGGUCGUGCCUUAAGGGGUGUGAACUGGUGUAGUCAAUUUCUCACCUUCUGGAGAACCGCGAUGUCCUUAAUUGGGUGCCGCGAGGAACCAGGACCUUUACUUUGAAAAAAUUAGAGUGUUUAAAGCAGGCAUUUUUGCUUGAAUACAUUAGCAUGGAAUAAUAAAAUAGGACGGCAUGAUUCUAUUUUGUUGGUUUCUAGGAUCACCGUAAUGAUUAAUAGGGAUAGUUGGGGGCAUUAGUAUUCAAUUGUCAGAGGUGAAAUUCUUGGAUUUAUUGAAGACUAACUACUGCGAAAGCAUUUGCCAAGGAUGUUUUCAUUAAUCAAGAACGAAAGUUAGGGGAUCGAAGACGAUCAGAUACCGUCGUAGUCUUAACCAUAAACUAUGCCGACUAGGAAUCAGACGAUGUUAAUUUUUUAAUGACUCGUUUGG